AGUGACAGUUAGCUCUUUUUUGGGUGCAGUGGGUUGAAUGGUGGCCCCUAAAAAGAUAUGUUUACCUCCAAAUCCCUAGAACUUGUGCAUGUUACUUUAUUUGGAAAAUUGAUCUUUGCAGAUGUAAUGAAGUUAAGAAUCUUAAUAUAAGAUUAUCCUGGAAUACCUGACUGGGACCUAAAUCCAAUGACAACCGUCCUUAUAAGAAAAGUGGAGACACGUGGAGGCAAAGGUGUUGUGAACAUGAAGCUAGAGAUAGCAGUGAUGUGGCCACAAGCCAAGGAAGCCCGGGAAUGCCAACAGCCACCAAAAGCUGGAAGAGGUAGGGAGGGAUUCACCUCUAGAGACUCCAGAGGGUCAUGGCCCUGCUGACACCUUGAUUUCGGAAUCCCAGCCUCCAAAAUGGUGAGAGAAUAAAUUUCUGUUGUUUGAAGCCACCUGGUUUAUGAAGAUUUAUUACAGCAGCCCAGAGAAACUAAUACAGUACAGUGGGAACAGGGCCAAGGGAGGUGGUCAGCAGAAAUGAAGCACUGUCCGGAUGGUGUGAAGGUGAUCUAUGCUGUGGUCAGAACAGCGGAAGGCCAUGAACUUUGCCGGCGAGUGCCUUUGUUCUGAGUCAAAGUGUUCCUUGGUAUGUGAAGGACAUCAGGUCCAAAGGCUGCUAGUGACUGAACAGAUAAUGUGAAUUCCAUCAAAGUUUGACUUCUGCUCAUCCCUACCUCUCCUCCCGAAGAUAGUAGGGUAAGUGUGGCAUCCAGGCAAGCGUCUGAUUUUCUGUUUCUUCUGUUCAAUUGAGGAACCAACUCUGUUCCUACAGAGAAAACCACAGAAUGAUUAUUUUGGAGUGGUAACCAUUUCUGGCUUUAGUGCUUUAGUUCCCAUUUAUUGCUGUGUGUAUCCUUGGUUUCCUUCUGUGUGGUUGCUGGUCCUAAAAUCUCCAUUUGCUUCCAAGUUGGUCAAUUGGUCAGGCCCUUUCUGUCUUGAAUGUGGCCAGACUGUGACUUUAAUUUCAACUAAUACAAUAUGCCAAAGGUGAUAGGAUGUCCAUUCUGGAUUAUAUUACCCAAGACAGAAGCUUACAGAGCUUAAAUUUCACCUUGCUGGGAGAUCCUGUCCUUGCUGGCUGUGAGGAAACAGGCUGCCAUAUUGUGAGCACGGAGAGGAAAGGUGGCAAGGAACUGAGAGCAGCCAACAGCUGACAGCCAGGAAGAAUCUGAGGCCACAAGGUGCUGAAUGCUGUCAACAACCACAUGAGCUUGGAAGCAUGUUCUUCCCCAGGCAAGCAGAGGAAUGAGAACCCAGCCCUGGCUGGCACUUGAUUGCAGCUUGCUGGUGAGACCCUGACACACAGGGCCCAGCUAAACACACCUGGACUCCUAACCCACUGAAACUGUGAGGAAAUAAAUGCAUGUUCUUUUAAGCUGCUGAUUAAGUUGUUAUACAGCAAUAGAUAAUUAAUACUUAAUUAUCUAAUUAAUACAUAUUAAUAUUUUGGCAACAUACACUAUGUUCCUAAGGUACCUCAGAAAAUCCUCAGAACCAUGUGUUGCAAAUGGCAAUGCUGUGGUACGAUGGGGUCUCCUAAACACUGGUAAUGGGUGAUGCAAUCACUUUGCAAAACAAUUUGACGAGAGCUAGUAUAGGUGAGACUGUUCGUCUCCUGUGACUCCUAGAAAUAUGCCCCAGGAAAACUCUUGCCCAUGGUACCAGGUAACAAAUUGGAGGCAGCAUUGUAUUAACAACAAAUUGAACACAACCCAAGUGUUCACCAACUGGAGAAUGGACAAAUCAAUUGUGAUUCUUCAUAAAACAGCUAUAGCAGUGAAAAUGAAGCCCUCUUCUUUAGGAAAGGCUUUCCUCUUAAAGCCACUGACCAUGUCUUAUUCAUCUCUGAGUUUUGUCAUCUGCAAAAUAGGAUAAUAAUAGUGCCUACUGCUUAGGGCUAUAAAUUAGACACUUUAAGUCAUGAGCUUAACACUGUGCCUGACAUUUAGUAAGUAAGUGCUCAUUAAAUGCUACCUCUAAAUCUCCAGGGCUUCGCACAG
rnacentral:lncRNA from 1 species